rnacentral:lncRNA from 1 species
GCCUAAUCCUGUGGCCGGACACUUAGCUAGACUCUGGCCUUGUCAAAAGAAGGACGUAAGAAGGCACGAUGUAUUAUACUUGGGAAUGAUAGAAGAGACUGACCUGGUAUUUCCACCCGGAAGAGGGAAAGGAUUUUAACUACAAAUACAGGAAUCCAGCAGAUGGCAUCAGAGAACACUAUAAAAAAGAAACGAUUUGCAACAGCCACCUCUCUUCCAAAACAAUUCCUUACUUCUGUGGUCUGCAAGGUGGUUUUUUGAAUGGAACAGAACAUAGUAAUAUAGGAAAACACAAUGAUGAGAAAAGCCAGCAAGUUCACACCUGUUGGGAAAAGCACACUUUUAACAUCUCAGGCGUAAAAGUCAACAGUAAAAUUACUGUGGUACAGGUUGAGUAUCCCUUACCCAAAAUGUUUGAAACCAGAAAUGUUUUGGAUUUCGGAUUUC